rnacentral:rRNA from 1 species
GACGAACGCUGGCGGCGUGCUUAACACAUGCAAGUCGAACGGAAAGGCCCUGCUUUUGUGGGGUGCUCGAGUGGCGAACGGGUGAGUAACACGUGAGUAACCUGCCCUUGACUUUGGGAUAACUUCAGGAAACUGGGGCUAAUACCGGAUAGGAGCUCCUGCUGCAUGGUGGGGGUUGGAAAGUUUCGGCGGUUGGGGAUGGACUCGCGGCUUAUGAGCUUGUUGGUGGGGGAGUGGCUUACCAAGGCUUUGACGGGUAGCCGGCCUGAGAGGGUGACCGGCCACAUUGGGACUGAGAUACGCACCAGACUCGUACGGGAGGCAGCAGUGGGGAAUAUUGCACAAUGGGCGGAAGCCUGAUGCAGCAACGCCGCGUGCGGGAUGACGGCCUUCGGGUUGUAAACCGCUUUCGCCUGUGACGAAGCGUGAGUGACGGUAAUGGGUAAAGAAGCACCGGCUAACUACGUG